GUGCUCACUUCAGCAGCACAUAUACUAAAAUUGGCCUGAUACAGAGAUUAGCAAGGUCCCUAGGCAAGGAUGACAUGCAAAUUCUUGAAGCAUUCCAUAUUUUU